AUCUGAUCUCUGGUCGAGUACGCAACUUCGGUUGUUGGAAAGAGUGGGGUGAGGGGGUCGGUGCCUGCACGCUGUUGGGUCCUGAGGGACCGGAUGCGGACCUUUGGGUUCGUGACCGUACCUCUGGGCCUCUUGUUGUUUGUCCGGUUGGGCAAGCGGUGAGGGGUACCGCCCGUACUUUGAGAACUACACAGUGGACGCGAGCAUCUUGCAGCCGGUCUUCGGACUGGUUGCACAAGAUGAUCUUAAAGAUCAUUAGUCAAUUUCUGAUCCGGUCUUCGGGCCGGGUCGAGUUUUUGAUUCAAACUCAUGUGAUUUCAAGUCUUUAAGAGCAAACGGUGGAUGCCUUGGCAUCUGGAGCCGAAGAAGGACGUAGCAAUCUGCGAUAAGCCUCGGGGAACUGAUAAGCAAGUUUUGAUCCGAGGGUGUCCGAAUGGGGAAACCCCGCUGGGCGGCGUGCCGACCUAGUGACUCCCGCCUGAAUAUAUAGGGCGGGUAGAGGGAACGUGGGGAAGUGAAACAUCUCAGUACCCACAGGAAGAGAAAGCAACCGCGAUUCCGUUAGUAGUGGCGAGCGAAACCGGAUCAGGCUAAACCUAGCGUGUGUGAUAGCCGGCAGGCGUUGCACGUUGG
rnacentral:sRNA from 1 species